ACAUGCAAGUCGAGGGGUAACAGGGAGUGCUUGCACUCUGCUGACGACCGGCGCACGGGUGCGUAACGCGUAUGCAACCUACCUUCUACAGGGGGAUAGUCCAGAGAAAUUUGGCAUAAUACCCCAUACGAUCAUUUAUUGGCAUCGAUAGAUGAGGAAAACUCCGGUGGUAGAAGAUGGGCAUGCGUCCUAUUAGUUAGUUGGUAAGGUAACGGCUUACCAAGACAUCGAUAGGUAGGGGUCCUGAGAGGGAGAUCCCCCACACUGGUACUGAGACACGGACCAGACUCCUACGGGAGGCAGCAGUGAGGAAUAUUGGACAAUGGAGGCAACUCUGAUCCAGCCAUGCCGCGUGCAGGAAGACGGCCCUAUGGGUUGUAAACUGCUUUUAUACAGGAAGAAACUCCGCUACGUGUAGCGGUUUGACGGUACUGUACGAAUAAGGAUCGGCUAACUCCGUGCCAGCAGCCGCGGUAAUACGGAGGAUCCAAGCGUUAUCCGGAAUCAUUGGGUUUAAAGGGUCCGUAGGCGGUUUUUUAAGUCAGAGGUGAAAUCCUGCAGCUCAACUGUAGCAUUGCCUUUGAUACUGAAAGACUUGAGUUAUUGUGAAGUAGUUAGAAUGUGUAGUGUAGCGGUGAAAUGCAUAGAUAUUACACAGAAUACCGAUUGCGAAAGCAGAUUACUAACAAUAUACUGACGCUGAGGGACGAAAGCGUGGGUAGCGAACAGGAUUAGAUACCCUGGUAGUCCACGCCGUAAACGAU
rnacentral:rRNA from 1 species